rnacentral:lncRNA from 1 species
GGAGAGGAAACAGGAAUCUGGAGAGGAAACAGUGUAUAUCAGAGAGAUGGAGAGGAGGAAACAGGGAAUCUCGAGAGGAAACAGUGAAUCUAGAGAAAUGGAGAGGAAACGUAGAGAUGGAGAGAGGAAAACAGUGAAUCUAGAGAGGAAACAGUGAUCUAGAGAGAUGGAGAGGAAACAGUGAAUCUCGAGAGAUGGAGAGGAGGAAACAGGAAUCUCAGAGGAGAAACAGUGAAUCUGGAGAGGAGGAGGAAUUAGUGAAUCUAGAGAGGAUGAGGAGGAAACAGUAGAGAUGGAGAGGAAACAGUGAAAAUCUAGAGAGAUGAAGAGGAAGGAAACAGUGAAUCUAGAGAGAUGGAGAGGAAACAGUGAAUCUCGAGAGGGAAACAGUGAAUCUGGAGAGGAAACAGUGAAUCUAGAGAGAUGGAGAGGAAACAGUGAUCUAGAGAGAUGGAGAGGAAACAGUGAAUCUAGAGAUGAAACAGUGAAUCUAGAGAGAUGGAGAGGAAACAGUGAAUCUAGAGAGGAAACAGUAAAUCUAGAGAGAUGGAGAGAAAACAGUGAUUUCUAAAAUUUUAGGCUGUUUACAUAAUGUUUUCUGAACACAUUAUAACCUCAUCACUCAUUGUCUGCUAGUGCUGAGCGAUUGACUUUCCCCUGUUAUUAAACAACUAACUGACCGACGUGGUUCAAUUACUUAACUUCCAUUUAGUCUUUGUGUGAGCCCAACACGCCGUUUCUCUAGACAGAAAUCAUGUCAAGAACCGUGUGGGACGCUGGGCUGAAGUUAUUUGUAGUUUUCAUGAAGCAAAUAUUCAGCAGAGUUCAGUGCAGAAAUGUGGUAAUUAACUACAAUGACCACAAUCCAUUGCGCCUGUUCAUUCCAGCUACGAUCUAUAGGUUAGAUACACACAGGCCUUAUGGACCGUAUGAGAGAGGAAUGUACACAACACAAUGAGGAGAGAGAGGGAUAGAGAGAGUUUGUGAAAGUAUGCCUGGUAAACUGUUUUACUCAGACAGCUCUGCAACAUCCUUAGUCAGGCUAGUUAGAUAGGAUGACUAGAGACAGUUUAGUCAGACAGCUCUGCAGCAUCCUUAGUCAGGCUAGUUAGAUAGGAUGACUAGAGACAGUUUAGGUAUUCAGAACAGCUCUGCACAUCCUUA